CGUGUAGGCGGUCAGGUAAGUGGAAUGUGAAAUGCCCCGGCUCACCCGGGGACCGGCAUCCCAAACUGCCUGGCUUGAGUAUGGGGAGAGGAUGGAGGAAUUCCUGGUGUAGCGGUGAAAUGCGUAGAUAUCAGGAGGAACACCGGUGGCGAAGGCGUCCAUCUGGCCCAAUACUGACGCUGAGGCGCGAAAGCUAGGGGAGCAAACGG
rnacentral:rRNA from 1 species